CCAAAUCCAAAGCUUACACAAAACUUUCUUCUUUAGCUCACUCUCCUUCUACUAACUCACCUCAAUGGCACCUCAGGGAGAUCGCCUCGCUGAUAUUGGAAGGGAGGGUUUUGCACUAAUAGACAUAUUUUAUGGUGGAGGAAAAUCAGGUCCAGCACCGAAGAAGCCAUGCAAUGUCCCACAGCAGCAUGCUCCCAUUCCCAACAACAAGAACAUAAUCGAUAGCGAGAAGGCCGCCGAAAGAUACAAAGGAGUGGUGGUCGUGGAGUCCCGCAAGAAGAAGAGGUUUGCCUGCUGGUGUUUUUAGGUUCUAGCGCUGUAACCGGAUGAACAAGUCCACGUCACUGUUUUCGUCAUAUCAGUCAUUUCAAACUCCAGUACUGUGUUUUUUUUGUUUUUUUUUGUUUUCUGGCCUUCUGAAGUUUAGCUGUGCACUAGGAUGUGUCUAAGCUAGUAAUUGGACUUGGGUUAUACUAAACACCCCGCGUUUUGUUCCUGUUUGGUUAGAAUAUCUAUGGUAUAACUGUUUACUUGAUUGGCGUGAAAAGAAGAUUCCAAUCGUUUCGACAGUGGAUGAUCACAAUUUAAAUAACUUGCCAAUGUUCUGGUCCAAAAACUAUCCUAGAACUACGUGGCCCAUUUGACACUCUGGUUCCAUUCUUGAGAUGCUCCUGCAUGAUUCAGUUCCUAAUAUUGACUAAGAUUUGAUAAAUACUUGCUGAAGCCGGAUCAUCCAAUUACGCAAGAUUCGGUUGUACAUCUAGCAAGCGCUUGCAACAUAUUGCAACAUAUAACUACACAGAUGGACCAUUCUGCAAUUGCAUUUUUUUUUCUUGUCUAGGAUGCUAACUAUUCUCUAGGAUCAAACGUCACUAUUAUUGUAGUGGAGAAAUAUGUCCUCUAACUUCCAAGAUAUGCCAUCAAUUAUUCAGCUCCUAUUCAUAAAUUACAAGUAGCAAUCAUAAAAUGUCAGAGAUCCGCAUGUCAACAAGCAAAAGCUUCGACCAAAAAAAAAAAAAAAGCAAGCAAAAGCACGACCUUUACUUUUAGUGAAUUUAAAAGUGGUUCAUCUUAACCAACAGAACGAAAAGAAUAAAUGAAGGGGGACUCAUGAUGCACAUGUGAGGUUAACUCUGGGUGUCUCAGCUCAAAUACGCGUAGAUCUAAUUUUUAAGGCUCACGGAUUUCUCUUAAUUAUAAAGCAGUGCGCGUAAUCACUUUAGCAUGCUUUUUGGAUCCACUUUUGACUAGAAAGUUGGAAUUUAAACUUUUUUGCGUUGAUGAAGUUUCUCCGAUCUGUUGGUACCUGGUGGUGUGCAGAUGAAGGUUAGUAUGUGGCUACAAGCAGAAUAAUUAAGCUCUUGAAGAGAGAAUCAUUUGACUGGGAGGUUGUGAUAAGAGAAUCUUAAAACACUCAGAAAAGUUUCCACCGAGAGACGAUCAAUUUAAUGAAGCAAUAGAGUUGUUCCAGGCAUGCCAAACCGCUUUUACAUCCCUCCAAAAUCACCGAAGAUCUGAACCUAGAAAUUACAAGUACCAAAACAAGUGAUUCAGCUGCCGCUUGCUCCUCUCCUUGCAUGACGGCCGGAGGAUUCUUUAGAUGAGUCGAGCUGCUAAACGUGGCUCAGCACAAACUUGUUACCUCAAUUUUGCUCAAUUUGGAUUGUGGCUAUUAUAGUGGGUUUAGCUCACUAAAAAGCAAUGUUGUCACUACAGAUAGGGUUGUACCUCUUAAAUCUCAUGAGCAGAUGCAUUAUGACCUUACACUGCUAAGAAAACUUAUUGAGAUCCCUUGAAGAAAAAAUCACGUUGAGUGUACAAAAUACUUGAUAAUUAAAAGAUUGGAGAGCCGCUUUUAAAAACUAGCAAGAUCAACUAGGGAUCGAUAUAUUAGGCAAUAGGGGUUUAGCUUGAAAUUCGAUGAGUUAAUUACGUUGGAAUCAUUUUUUCACAUUUUCUUUUACAUAGACUAACCUUUACUAAUGUUUUUCGGGACUUAACCAACCAAAAAAAACAAAAAAAACAAAAAAAAAAAAUUAGCGCACACUCUGUGGAAGCCCAUCGGGAUGCUGCUGGUGGCUGGCUCGUCGUGGAGGUUAUUCAUGUCGCGGAGACGAGGGAGAAGGGAAGGUUCAUUCCGAUGGCUGCUUUGGCACAAUAAAACCCUGGAGUUACUUCAAAUGGAAGGACAAACUGAUCGAUGAAAAGGGGUUUGGCGAAAGCGAAGGUCUUCCUAAAGAUAAAAGUCUCAGACUGUUUGAAGGCAGGAGCUCAGUCACUGAUGGGCAACGGCGAAUGUGUCAUUGGCGCACGCGAUAAAUGACUAAGAAGGCCUGCUGCCCCUCAACAACAAUCGGCCGCUGUUUCUCACCGUCGUGAAGUCCUCGCUCCCAUGACGUGCUGUUGUUUCGUCUCCAUUUGUUGCCCGUGACGAGUUGUUGGCCGUAAAUCUCACGCUCUCAUCGAUUCACCGCCGACCAGCCCAUGACACCGACGGGUCGCUGCUCUAUCUCGUGCCACCCUCCCAUAGCCACACGACCAACACUGUGUGGCCCUCGACAAUCCAUGGCGAAGCACCAAAUCAAAGGCAUUAUAUAAAAGGAGAAGACUUGGCACUUUGGAUGAAAAGCCAUUGAAAAUAGUGCAAAAUUCGAAACAAAGGGCACACUCUCGGUCAAUUGGGAGAAAGGAGACUACUCUGUCAGAGAGUGUCCACUCACACUCACGUUCAACACGAGGCUUCAAGGUUUUCCUGGAGCUCGAGAAAACCCAACGUUGCUAGUACCACCCUCACCGCGAAGCCGCCCGGAGUUCCAGUGUGUUCUUUCUUUUCUUGAGACCGCAACACCAAGCAUCGUUAACGGACUGAGUCAGAUCGGCCAGUGGAUUCCAAGAGGUCUCGCGGAGCCCAUCGGGUGACUUUUGCCGCCACGUUGCAUUACGAGUAGCCAUUCGAGGAUUGGAAUUCGAAAACCAAUAUUUGAAUUAGGUGAAAAUCUUAUCUAUUUUGAUUUUCAAAUAUUCCAUUACCUUAUUUGAGAUAUUUGUUGAUACAUAUGAUUGAAAUUGCCACUGAAAUUUGGGAUUGACAGUUUAAUUUUCGAUCCCGAAAUCCGACUCGCAAUCUCUUACAAAAAUUGACAAUCCGAUCUCAUGCCCGAGAUUCGAUUUGGGAUUUAAUUUUAAAAUUGGUCAAUCCGAUCUCAUGCGCGAAAUAUGGUUCGCCAAUUUUUGGAUAUUAAUCUUAUCUUGUUUGAUUUGCUGUCGUGGUGUUCGGAUCAAUUUUAUUUUCAUAAAAGAAAAAAAUCUAAAAAAUUCGAGUUAGGAUUAAGUUUGUUUUAGAAUGUUCCUCGUCUUAGGAUUAUCUUGCAUAUUUAGAAUUGCAAUCUUAUUUCGAAUUUUUAAACCAAAGAUCCAAAAAAAGGCGUUCAUUUAGGAUGUUAUUUUUUUUUAAAAAUUUGAUUUGCAUGUUUAAUUAUUCGGCAAUUUUAAUUUCGAAUUUUAUAAAAAAACACAAAAAAAAAAAAAUCAUCAUGCAUAUAUCAUGUAGAUUAGAGCAUUCUUAAGUUAGAGAUUGCUAGUUUAAGAUAAUAUCUUAUUUUAAAGUGAGAUUUAGUCUGACUUAAUUCUUAGUUUAAAUUGGAUAGAAUUUUAAUCUAGCUAGGUAAUUUUUGCAUCUUAAUUUCGAAUUUCAUGAAAAAUAAAAAUUGUCUUAGAGUAGAUUCAUUUCAUUCUCUAAGAUAGUUUGCACUUUUUUAGGAAUUGAAAUAUCAAAUGCACGUCAUUUAGUUUUUUAGGCCCAUUUAAUUAGAAAUUGCUCAUCAAUAGAAUUAGGUCAUUUAGAUUGCAUUUAAUUAUUGCAUUUCUUUAGGAUUUACGUUAUUAAUGUCAUAUAGUUUAGGUCGUGUUGCAAUGUCAUAUAGCUUAGGUCAUGUUGCCAUGUCAUAUUAGAUUAGUAGCAUGCAUUACAUGAUUCCCAUUAAAUAAGUGAAAAAAAAAAGAAAUUGCGUGUUAAUUAGAAAUCAUAUCUAGGAUUGUCGAUGUGAAUUCUGAUCUAACAUUGCAGAUACUUUCGUUGCCAUGAGGUAAGUCUUGCAAUUUAUUCAUCGUUUUCUUGGGUGUUAAAUUGGUAGGUUGUGCACCUGCAUGAACACCUCACAUGUUAGGAAAGUAAAAUCAAUGCUUGUCAAACAUUUUUCAAAAUAAAAAAGUAAGGUACCGAAAAGGCAUUAGAGAAAUCUAGCGUAACCAAGUCCCCGAACUUACAAUUUUUGGUUCGUAUGAGUACUUAGGUGUUUAAUCAACCUACCACAUUAUUUUACUUAGGUGUCUAAUCUACCUACCGUAAACUGAUUAGUAGUGACUCAUAAUUAAAAAUCAAUUGCAUGUUAAUAAUGUGAACCUAAGUCGCGAAUUGGUAUGGGCUUGGGAGAGCUCGGGCUAAGUUUAGGCUUAGCAAUCUAUUAGCCAAACCUUAGGUGGUUCAUUCGAAAAUUUGGCCGCGACAAGAAUCAAACCUCUAUCCCUCCCAGUGUGGCUUUACAAAACUAAUCAAUGAAUAUGAGUCAUUAAAACAUGUUUAAAUGGACUAAAAGAGUCACGUUUUUUCAAGUAUUAUUUGUAGAUGAAUAGAUAGGUCUUACUCGUUUAUAAGACAAACAUAGUUAAAGAUGAUAACCAAUACUCUAAACUAUGUACUUUGCGCAUCUGUUGAUAUUCAACCAAGUCGUUAUUUCCAGCCUUACUCUUCACGACAAACUGAGAAAUGAUAACGCUUAAUUUUAUAUAAAUUUAAAAAAGAAGGAGAAUUAAGAUCCAUUUGACAGAGUUAAUGCUUGAUGGACAUUAAUAAGGUUUAAAUUAUACGGUUAAGUGGGAAUUUGAUUCCACACCAAUCUACUGAACAUAUCUCGAUAAUUUGUUAACCAAAAGAGGCCGACUUGGAAAGUAGAUUCAAAUUGGAAGGGACAAUUGGUUCUCAACACGUGUCCUAAAUACUUUAAGCCUUCCUUCGGACUUGAAAAGAUUGUUUAGGAUUCAUCAAUAGACUAGAAGGUUGUCCAAAUCAAGGGAGGGCGGUGAUCGAGGAAGUUGUGGCAGCGGCUUCAUCUCUUGACAGAAUGUGUUUGUACAAGUGUCGAAAUCAGGCAAAGGAGAAAAGAGGAAUAUAAUCUAAGGUUUGGCAGUUGUAGCUAUGCUUUAUACUAUACCUGCAAUGAUAUGGAAGGUACUGUUCUUAGCAUUAAAAGAUCACCGUGCUAACGAAACUUGAACGACAAGAAGAGGUGGGGACGAUUCCAUACGACUUCAUUAUCUAUCCACAGUCCCAAUUUGUCAAAAGUUUGGCUGAGGAACCAUUUUUCGAGAUCAUUUGCGGACGAGAAAGGCCUGCUUAAUCUCUCUCUCUAAGUACCUAGUUAUUGAAGUCUACUAGUCAUUAUAAUUGAUGGAAUAAGCUCCAUCAGACUUGCUGCGAUUCAACUGACCUCACUGGAAAUAUGUCAUCGGGCCAAUAAAACGCGGGUACUAGGAGCCUUCCUUUAUUCCUUCCGCAUUUCCGUGGCACUAUCCAUGAGCUCUAUAUAAACUGAUCUUGGCCUUCAAACUCGAACACAAGAAUGAAACCAAUCCAAAGCCCACGCAUAAGUUUCUAGUUUAACUCACUCUCCUUCUACUAUCUCACCCGCAAAUGGCACCUCAUGCCAAUCGUCUCGCCGAUAUCGGAAGGGAGGGUUUUGCUCUAGUGGACAGAUUUUAUGGUGAAGGGACAUCGGGUCCAGUACCAAAGAAGCAAUACAAAGGCCCAAAGCAGUAUGCUUCUGUUCCCAGUGACAAGAACGCAAUCGAUAGCAAGAAGGCCGCCGAAAAGUACAAAGGAACUGUGGUCACGAAGUACUACAAGAAGUUUAUUGGCUGGCGUUUCUAGGUUCUAGCACUGUAAACAUGUAAUGGUUCGAGUGACUUCCUAGAAGGUAGAGGUAACCGGAUGAAUAAGUCCUUGUCAUGGUUUUCACGGUUUUCCUCAGUCACUUCGAACUCUAGUACUGUGUUUAUGUAUAUCUUUUGUUUUUCAGCUUUCUGAAGUUUAAUUGUAUGCUUGGACAUGUCUAAGCUUUUAAUUGGACCCAUUUUACACUAUAUUCGACUUUUUAUUCCUCUCUUUGAUAAAAUUUAUGUCAAUCUAUGGUAUACUCGGACACUGACCGGUAUGAAAAGAGGACUUCAAUCGUUUUCAAAGUGAAUGACCACAACUUAAAGAACUCGCCAAUUUUCUGCUCCAAGGACUGUCCAAGAACUAGCAGGCCAUUGGACACUCUGGUUCUAUUGCUGACUUGCUGCUGCAUGAUUGAAUUCAUAAUCUUGAGUAAUAUUUUCUAAGGACUCGCCAAAGAUGAACCAUCCAAUUACGCAAGAUACGGUAGUAAAUCCAGCUGGCGCUUGCAACAUAUAACUACACAGAUGGACCAUUCUUUGACUUUUUUUGGUGCAAUUGCAUUCUUUCUCUUGUCUAGGAUGCUAAACUAUUUUCUAGGAUCAAAUAUCACUACUAUUGUAGCGGAAAAAUAUGUCCAAUAACUUCCUAGAUAUGUCACGAAUUAUUCACCUCUUAUUCAUAAAUUACAAGCAGCGAGCAUAAAAUAUUAGGGAUCUGCAUACUAACAAGCACAAGUUAUUUUCUUUUCUUUCUUGGAUGAAAGCGUGAAUAGUGAAUCUAAGUUUUUCAUCUAAACCAAAAGAACGACAAGAAUGAACGAAGGGGAACAGCUGAUGCACCACAUAUCAGGUUAACUCCAGGGGGUUCCUCAACUCAAAUAUGCAAAGAUCACUGAUCUCUAAGGCUCCAUCCACUUUUGACCAAAAAGGUUGAAUUUCUGAACCAUUUUGAGGGCUUUUGACGAAGUGUCUUCAAUCUGUUGGUACCCCGGGCUGGUACAGAUGAAGUAUGUGGCUCUUUGGCGGAGAAGUUGACUUCUCCAAGAGAGAAUCAUAUGACUGGAAGGCCGUGAAAAAAGAAUCUUGAAACACUGAGCAAAAUUCCACCUAGAGACUAUCAAUGUGGUGAACCAAUAUUGUUAUUGCAGGCAUGCCAAACCGCUUUUCGAUCCCUCCAAAACCACCAAAGAUCUUAAAGUCUAUAACCGGAGGUACGAUUGCUGGCAGUCAGUUUUAGACUUUACCAUUAAAGGUAGCUAGGUCGGAGCAGGCCUUGUGUAACACCCUCGAUUCCAACCCUAUGAGGAUCGGCCAUAAAGUCCUGAAUGGAUCGACCAUGAGCCAUUGGCUAUGGGAUCGAUUGGUUUGAUCGGUAAGGAAUCAAUGAUUGGUCAUGGUCCAAUCGGCGGAUCGACCGGGCAAGAAUUGGUCGAGAUGUCGGCCGUGAAUUGUCUACCGACCAUAUCGAUGGAAUAGGAUUACCAGCUCAUAAGAUGAAUUUUUGAUAACGAGGAUUGGUCAUAGGGUGAUUUUGGAUUGGCGGAUGAUCAUGGGUCGAUCCGAUUGAUUGUAAUGCCCGGCCAUGAGUGCUUCUGCCCGACUAUGCACCGAUACACAGAUGAUGCGACUUUAUAAAUGUGAUUGUCUUUGUCGUGACCAAAAUUUUUCGGGUGUGAACCACCUAGAGUUUGGCUAACGGAUUGUUAAGUCUAAACUUAACUCGGGCUCUCCCAAGCCCAUAUCAAUUCGCGACUUACGUUCAAGUUCUUAACAUGCAAUUGAUUUUUUAAUCAGGAGUCGUCACUAAUAUAUUUUUUUGGUGGGUCGAUUAGAAACCCAAGUAAAGUAACGGGAUUUUCACUUUACUCCUACGAACCAGAGACUAUGGGUACGGGGACUUGGUUACACUAGAUUUCUCUAAUGCCCUUUCGGUACCAUUCUUUUAUUUUCAAAAAAUGUUUUUGCAGGCAGCUUAAAUUGAUUUUAAAUCUAUUUUACUAACAUGUGAGGUGAUCAUGCAGGUGCGCAAUCCACCAAUUUAACACCUAGAUAAACAAUAAAUAAAUUGCAAAAAGUUACCUCAAAGCAACGAAAGCAUCUGCAAUGUUAAGUUAAAAACCGUAUCAACAACCUUAGAUAUGGUUUCUAAUUACCACGCAAUUUCUUUUUUUGUUUUCACUUAAUUAAUGAAAAUCAUGCAAUAUGCAAUGCAAUAUUAACUAAAUGACCUAAUUCUAAUGACAUGCAAUUUCUAGUUAAAUAGGCCUAGCAAAAAUACUAAAUGACAUGCAUCCCAGUGAAUCUAGCCCUAAUGACGUGCAUAUGCCAUUUUUCUCUUUUUCCUAAAAUAAUGCAUUUUAUCAUAAACAAUAAAACUAAUUUAACCUAUGGCAUUUUUUUUUGUAUUUUUCAGGUGAAAUGUGAAAAUUACCUAAUUAGAUUAAGAUCCUAUUUAAUUUAUGUUAGGAAUUAGGUUGAGCCAAAUCCUAAUUUAAACUAAAACAUUAUCUUAACCUAAAUAAUCCUAAAAUGCAAUAUAUCUAAAAAAUACCUAAACUUAUAACAAAUUAAGAAAAAAAUAUUAUCUAGAAUUGAACUAAGUGAAAUUUAGUCCUAAUACGCAAUAACGUGCAAAAUAUGCUUUAACACUACAUGACAUGUAUAUGAUGAUUUUUUUUUUGUUUUUGUUUAAUUUCGAAAUUAAUAAUUGCCAAAUAAUUAAACAUGCAAUCCAAAUUAAAAAUCUAGCAACCUAAAUUGAUUGAUUUGAUUUUUAUUUUUAUUUUUGAUUUUAAAAUUUGAAAUAAGAUUCCUAUUCUAAAUAUGUAAGCCCUAAAACAUGCAAUAUUAUAACCCAAACACAUUUCAAGAUAAACAAAGCGAUCAUGACAAGCUAAACCAAGGAUAUCACACAUCAUUCAGAUCAUAGGUAAAAUUUCGCUAGUAAAAUCGAUAAAUUGAUCUUAAGCCUUAAAGAUCAAAAUAUCAAUUUUAUUCCCGCUUGAUUAAUUAUUUCAUCUAAAGCCUUAUAGACGAAAUAAAAAUCCAAGCGCGGUUGCAAAUCAGGUGAUAUGUUGGAAUUUCCAAUCAUAUAUUAAAGACUAAUUAUAUUGAAAAAACAAGAUAAAGUAAAAUAAAAUAAAAUAAAAUAAAAAGAAAAAACUACCUGAUGUGCUUUUUUUUUUUUUUUUUCUUUUUUUUAAAGCAAAGAUGAUGGUUGCUCCAGUAAGGGGAUUCGCCGGCAGUGGACUUCGGCGAGAGCAGCAAGGGUAGCUACUGGCGAGGGACUCUGGCGAAGAAGGGCGACAGUGAGCAUCGGUGGGGGAGGCUCUGGUGGUGUCGGGUUGCGGCAGGGACAGCAACGCGGCGGCGGCUGAGUGUUGGGCGGAGGCGAGUAGGGGCGGUGUGGUCUCCGAGUUGCGGGCUUCAAAUGGUGGGGCGUUAUAGGGACGGCAGGGGGCCUCGGGCAGCUGGUGCGGUGAGGUCGGGAGCGGCAGGCUUCGGAGCUCCGGCAUCGACUGGGCAGGAGCGCGAUCGUCGGGGCGAACCUCGCGAGCGGAGCAGGGGCGUUGUAGUGGCGUGGCUUCGGUGAGGGCGGGAGUGCGGUCGUCGGGACGCCUGGCGUUCAGUGCUGCUGGUGCGGAGUGACGAGGAGUGGCGAAUGGAGUGGCUGUGUUGCUGCGCGUCAGGGGCGAAUCCAGCGAGGCGAUGGUGGUGGAGGCGCGGUGGUGCUCGGGGGGAGUGGCGAGACCGGUGGCAGGGCGUCGCGGGUCGCUGGCGUCGAGUUGCGUGGAGCGGGAGCAGCAGCAGCGUCUUGGUGUCAAGGCAGCUUCGGCGGCAACCGGCGCAGCGGAGGCCGGCAGGUGGAACGGUGAGGGGAGACUCGGAGAAGAUGAUGAGCAGGAGCUUUUUUUUUCUUCUCUCUCUUCUCUCACGUCACUUCCUACGUCUCCUCUCUCUGUCUCAUCUCUCUGCUGUAUUUUCUUUUUGACUUUUGACUUCUCCCUUCUCCCCAAAACAAAAGAAUUGAUUUUCUUUGGGGUUUUUGAGCUUAAAAACCCGAAAGAAAAAGCACUCCUCACGUUUUUUGCUCUGAAAAUUCUUUCUUGAAUUCACUCUCGAAUUUUUUUGAAAAUCGCCCCCCUCAUACGAAAAAUGAAGCUCUCUUUUAUACUAAUUCCAAACGGCCGCUUUGUAUGGCAUUUUUCGAGUUUUCAUCUUCUGUCGCAUUAAAUCAAAGCUGCAAAUCAGAGCAUGAUUUCGCAAUCAGCUCAAUCUUGUUCAGAUUUCUUCAAUUUUGCAAAAUUCUUGCCUCUUAUUCACUUGAUUUUAAAUUGCUUCUACAUUUAAUAAAAUUCGAAUGCUCAUCAAAAUUUCAAAUUUCCAUGCAUAAUCAAUCAAAUAAAUUUCCCCUAUUUUUUUUUAUUUUUUUCCUUUUAUUUGUUCCAAUGCAAUUUUUAUUUUCCUUAUUUUCCUAAAUUUGCUAAAAAUAGGUGUCAACAGCUGCCUCUCUUUGAAGGUGAGCUUGUAGAGGUUGCCUUCAAAGACAACUUGAGACCUAAAUGUUGAUCAUGUAGAUGUACUGAGUGACUCUUUUUUUUUUUUUUAAAUGAAUCCCAUUUGGAAAUGAAAUUUAUAUGAUGCAUGGAAAUGUUAAUGCAAAUGAUAAAGGAACUUACCUGGAAUUACUUACCUUCGGGGAUGGUAGAGUAACUUAAGAUAGAUUGGUGUUACAUGUCAAGGACCCGUACUAUUCUACGGUCGCCCGGAAUAAUAACAUGACUUCACAAAGUGACUGCUUUCCCAGGACCCGUACCAUUCUACGGUCGCUUAGUAUGGCAUUGUUUGGUUAUGUCUAGGACCCGUACCAUUCUACGGUCGCCUAAACGAAAAAAAUGAUUUUCCAGGACCCGUACCAUUCUACGGUCGCCUGAAUGAAAAAAGAUUUUCCAGGACCCGUACCAUUCUACGGUCGCCUGAGUUGAGGUUGUCUAGGACUCGUACCAUUCUAUGGUUGCCUAAACAAAAAAAAUGAUUUUUCAGGACUCGUACCAUUCUACGGUCGCCUGAAUGAGGAAAUUGCUUUUUCAAGACCCGUACCAUUCUACGGUCGCCUGUUAGAGCAAUAAAUGUUGUCUAGGACCCGUACCACUCUACGGUCGCCUAGACUAAGGUUUUGCUUGGCUAGGACCCGAACCAUUCUUCGGUCGCCCAACCUUGCGACAGAAAUCAUCCGACCAGGACCCAAACCAUUCUUCGGUCGCCUUAAUCAAAUUGAAUCUGGAGGAAAAGUCUUUGGGGGACAACUCAAUUGAGUGUCGGUAUGCUUAAAAGGGAAUACCUGUGCAAUGACAAAUAUUCAAGGUAUGGAUAGAGAUAUACUUACCUGGUAAUAUCUCCGAUCUUCAAAGAUACGUCUCCUACAAAACAUGGUCGUAGGAGAGAAAACAUGCAUUUGUAAUCAUAAACAUGCAUCAAUAUAAUGGAGGUUAUGAUGAUUUCCAUUAAUCUUGCAUCACCUAAUUUCCAUUCUGAAUACAUGAGUGUCAUGAAUGUGUCAAAUGAGGGAUCCUUUGGUCUGAAAGGACUUUUUCUCUCAUCCUCAUUAAAAUGGCAAUUUCAUCAUGACCUUUGAUGUAGGAUUUUGUCAAUCACUCUAUCUCACCAUCGUCAUGCCCAAACCAGGGUUUGAGCAAUCUCGCAAGUGGUACGAUCUUAUCAAUUUGAGAGGUCUUUAACAAGGACCAUAAUGUGGGCCUGGUCAACGGCUUAACAAAAGGGACUCUUUGAGUCAAGGCUUUUGAAAGAAUGAGUGAUAUCUGUAAUCAUCUCUGGGUUUACAAGUCAAGAACCUUGCAAAAUGAGAAAGAAAUAAUCUUGCUCGCACUUCUUCGAGCGAUGCUUAAAACAUGUGAACCCCUAGGUUAAUUCAAGUGCCUUAAUUUGAAGAGACUUUUGCAAGGGACGUAACGUAGGCUUGGCUCAUAGGUUCAGAAAUGAAAGGAUCAUUUGGCUCAAAAAGUGUUUAUGGGGUCAAAGUUGGUGAUCAUCUUAACAUUUCAAACAAUUUUCCUCCCCAUCAUCGAAGAUUUUCUUCACAUCACAACUCCACCGAUUGCAACAUCUUAACAUUUGAGUUUUUUUUUUUUGGGUACCACCUUGUUGGGGAUACGACUCACUUCAUCAAGUGUUUGAUUUUUUUUCUUUGGGCAUUGGCCUUGCUUUUACCAGGCACACUGCUUUUCAUGCCCCAUUUUUUGCACUUUUUUUUUGGACAAAGUCUCCAUUUUUAUUAGCAUUGUAAAUCAUGCUAUUUGAGUGGUUUGAUUUUUCUUUCCUUGCCCCAGUGUGGGGGAUGAUCACCAAUUGGGUUUAAAGAAAUGAAAAUUGCAGGCUCAAGUGGGCUAUGCAAUGGGUAUAAGUAUGUAGGAUAGAGAAAGAAAUGCUCUUCGUCAUCCUAAGAUACUUAAGUUAACCCAUGAAUUCAAUGCAAUAGCACGACUUAAAGAUUGAUGAAAGUGAGAGCUAGAAAAUUUCAAUUCAUUUUUCUCACCUCAUGAUGCCAUUUUAUCUCCCAUUUGCCCCAAUGUGGGGUGAUUCUUGACAGGGGUAAUUCGAAAAGAAUAUCCAUAAGUGUAUGGGCUCAAAAGGGUUAAGCAAUGGAUCACCUAUAGUGUUUGGGAUAGAGAAACGAAUGCCUCUCAUCACCUUGGUUGACGUACCCUUUGCGAGAUAGCCCUCUUCCUUGCGGGCAUUGAAUUUUUCACACAACUCACUAGGGGUUAGUGUAUGAAACAGUGUAUGGAACAAGGCUUGCCUUUCAUCAUUCCAAAGUAUCCCAUUUGACACAUUCAAUUUAUCUCACACAAUUCAUCAAGGGAGAAAAAAUGCAAGAUUUGCAAUAAAAUUGAACAAUCGAACUCAUUGAAGCAAUUUAUUCAUCAUUGAAAUGCUUGCAGUUCAAAACAUGACAUUGAAAAUUCUAUCAUGGGUAAUACUUCUUGACAGCAUCUGAAUUAACAGGAGUGGAAAACUCAUGACCAUCCAUUUCUGCUAAUAUCAAGGCACCGCCAGGAAGUAUCUUCUUUACCACAUAUGGGCCGCUGUAGUUUGGAGCAAACUUGUCUCCAAGAUCCGGAAAGAUCGGCAAUAGCUUUCUUAGGACUAGGUCAUUUACCUCGAAAUGCCUUGGCCGCACCUUCCGGUUGAAAGAUUUGGCUACUCUCUGUUGAUACGCUUGGCCAUGGCAGAGAGCUUUCAAUCUUUUCUUAUCGAUCAAGUUCAACUGCUCGAAUCUUUGUUGUGACCAUUCCGCCUCAGACAACUCCACUUGGGAUAAAAUCUUCAGAGAAGGAAUUUCCACUUCUAUAGGUAGAACUGCCUCCAUGCCGUACACCAAAGCAAACGGGGUUGCCCCAGUAGAAGUGAGGAUCGAUGUCCGAUACGCCAUUAGUGCGAAAGGUAGCCUGUCAUGCCAAUCUCGAUAGUUCACGACUGUCUUAGCCAAAAUCUUCUUAAUGUUCUUAUUGGCCGCUUCAACGGCCCCAUUCAUUUGAGGGCGAUAAGGAGACAAAUUUAGAUGCUUGAUUUUGAACUCUUUGAACUACUCAUCAACAAGUUUGUUAUUCAAAUUGGUCCCAUUAUCAGUGAUGAUUGCUUUAGGGACACCAUAGCGAGCAAUUACAUCACAUUUAACAAACUUCACAACAUUAUGAGCAGUGACACUUGCAAAGGAUGUAGCUUCGAUCCAUUUGGAGAAAUAGUCUAUUGCCACCAAAAUGAAUCGAUGUCCAUUUGAAGCCUUGGGAUUGAUUGGGCCAAUCACAUCAAUACCCCACAUCAAGAAAGGCCAUGGCUCUGAAAACUGAUGCAGCUCAGUUGGAGGAACAUUUAUCUUAUUUCCAUGAAUUUGGCAGCGGUGACAACUUCGAACAUGCCGGAUGCAGUCACUUUCCAGUGUGAGCCAGUAGUAGCCUAACCUCAUAAUUUUCUUGGCUAACAUAUGUCCAUUCAUAUGUGGGUCACAUACUCCUUCAUGCACUUCUUGCAUGAUUUGAGUGGCUUUGACUGCAUCUAUACAUCGCAACAAGACAGAAUCGUAAGACCUCUUGUACAAAUUCUCACCACUGACGAAAAAUUUCGAGGCCAUCUUCAUGAUGUACUUCCUAUUAGCUUGAGUGCUUCCUUCGGGGAAUUCUUGUUUUUUAAUGUAAUUCAUGAUAUCGUAAUACCAUGGUUUUCCAUCAAGUUCUUCAAUCACAAUCAUACAAUAAGCUGGCUUCGGCAAAACUUCUAUUUUCAGGGGUUCAACCUCCAACCCAUCAGUGACUUGCAGCAUAGAGGACAACGUCGCCAGUGCAUCUGCAAAUUGAUUAUGAGACCUCGGCAAGUAUUGAAACGAAACUUCCUCGAAUUCUUUCACCAGAUUUUCUAAAUACUUAUGGUAUGGAAGUAACUUGGCAUCCUUGGUCUUCCAUUCUCCCACGGUCUGCAGUAUGAUUAGUGCGGAAUCUCCGAACACUUUUAACUUAACCACACCCAUCUCAAUUGCUGCUUGAAGCCCGAGGAUGCAAGCUUCAUACUCGGCCACAUUGUUAGUGCACGGAAAUAUCAAUUUUGCAGCUACCGGAUGGUGUUGUCCAUCUGGAGAUAUCAGAACUGCUCCAGUACCCGAACCGGAUAGGUUUACAGCUUCAUCAAAGAACAUCUUCCAUGAGUCUUCAUUUACACUCAAGACAUGGUCAUCAAGGAAACUGUCAUCAUCAUUAAGGACUCUUGAAUUCUCGGCCAAUAGAUCAGCAAUCGCUCAGCCUUUAACCGACUUUUGUGGCAUGAAUUGCACAUCAAAUUCCGAAAUCAAGAUUUGCCAUUUGGCUAACUUACCUACCAAAGCUGGUCGAUCAAGUAAGUACUUGAUAGGGUCGUUCUCAGUCACGAGGAAUGUUUGAUAAUGUAGUGUGUAUUGUCGUAACCUAUGCAACACCCACACCAAUGCCACACAAGUCUUUUCAACCUCAGAAUACUUCAACUCGAAUACGGUGAACUUCUUGCUGAGAUAAUAAAUGGCCCGUUCUUUUCUAUCAACAGGACUUUCUUAAGCCAACAUUGCGCCUAAUGAAUCACUAUGAAUAGUGAGGUAGAGAAUCAAAGGAUGCCCCGGUGAGGGUGGGACAAGAACUGGUGGGUUCAUCAAGUAUUGCUUCAGCUUGUUGAACGCUUCUCGACACUCAUCAUCCCAGUUGACUUGUGCAUUCUUCUUUAGAAGCUUGAAGAACGGCUUGGCAGUUUCAGAGAGUUGAGAAAUGAACCUUGCUAUGUAAUUCAAUCUCCCUAAAAGGCUCCGGACUUCUUUCACCGUUGAUGGAGGUUGCAAUUCACAUAUGGCCUUAGCCUUGGAAUGGUCGAUCUCAAUCCCUUUAUUGCUCACAAUAAAUCCGAGUAAUUUACCGGAUGUUGCUCCGAACACGCAUUUAGCGAGAUUUAGGUGAAGCUUGAACUCACGAAGUUGAUCGAACAACUUCUUCAAUGUUUCGAUGUGGCUUCUUCUUGGUCGGGUCUUCGCAAUCAUAUCAUCAAUAUAGACUUUAAUCUCAUUAUGCAUCGUAUCAUGAAAUAAUGCAACCAUGGCUCGCUGGUAGGUUGCCUUUGCAUUCUUGAGUCCGAAAGGCAUGACUUUAUACUGAAAGGUUCCCCAUGGGGUAAUAAAUGCAGUCUUUUCCUUGUCUUCCUCCUUCAUCCUUAUCUGAUUGUACCCAGAAAAACCAUCCAUAAAUGAGAAUAGUUCAAAGCCAGCAGUACUAUCCACAAGGACAUCUAUGUGUGGUAAUGGGAAAUCAUCUUUUGGACUAGCCUUAUUCAGAUCCCGAUAGUCAACACAAACUCGAACUCGACCGUCCUUCUUCAUCACCGGCACGAUAUUAGCCACCCAUUCAGGGUACUGUGAGACUUCAAUAAACCCCACAUUCAAAAGCUUCAUCACCUCUUCCUCUAUCUUCUUUGAGAGUUCGGGCUUAGUCCUCCGCAUCCUUUGCUUCUUAGGUGGCACAUCUGGAUUAGUAGGUAGGCAAUGCUCCACGAUUGACGGGUCUAGUCCAGGCAUGUCAGCGUAGGUCCAUGCAAAAAUGUCUUGAUAUUCCUUCAGUAAUUGAAUUAGGCGCUCAGCCUCAUCUUUGGGGAGACUCGCCCCAAUUUUUACUUCUUUGGCUUCUUCAAUGUCACUCAAAUUAAUAGUGACGGUCUGCUCAGAUGUGAGAGCUUUAGCUUUUUCAUGUUGUUCCCAGCUAUAUUGCACUUCAAUAGUCUUUGAUCGAGUCUUUAGGAUCAUCAUCAUUAGCACUUGUUGCAGUGGAUUGGACCAUUUCUACAUCUUUGCAUGCCAUAGGAUUGUUCCUGAAACAUGAGGUAGAUAAAUUAGAAAGACAAACAGAGUAAUCAACAUCUUUGCUUUUUUUUUUUUUUUAAAUCUUUGGCAAAACAUUUUUUUUGGAACAUUUUGACAUGAGGAAGCAUGAUGAAGCCUAGGCCUCAGAGUUCUCCUUGGAUUUUUCUUUUCUUUUAUCGGUUGGAUAUCAUCACCGGGCUGGUUUGGUGUACCUCAUCAUGCCCUCAAAAUAAAAUUUGUAAUUUCAUUGAAAUUCAUCAAUCGAUUACAUUUAUUGAAUGAAAAAAAAAUGCAACACUCAAUCAAUAAAAGAAGAAACUAAAAUCAUCAUUCAGAAAAUAAUAGAAAUUCCCACGCAAGGGAAUGUGCAAAAUCAAUAAAAUAGUUACUCUUGUGGGCCAAGGCCCAUCUCUUCAGGGGUCCUUCAUUAAUGGCUCCUAUGAUGAGGUUGUUGAAUAAGCUUGCAACUCCUUCCAGCUCAUCAUCAGGGUUCUCUGCUUUCGGGGGUGUCGGAUCAUCCAUGCCACCCCAUCCAUCUGGGACUAUCUCACUAGGAUCAAUGUAGUAGCUAGGAGGGGUUGAAUACUUCACCAGGUAAUCAAACUUGCCACUAGGCUGCCCCAAAGUGUCUAUCACUUCCGCUUCUUCAUGCAUCAUUCUUGGAGGACCAGGGAAUGUCUCGUGAAUGCUCGGGGGUAGUGGGUUUUGCCUCCCUCGCCCUUGGUUAGGUGGCGAGUUCCGCCUUUCUUGUCUUCGUCCUUCAGAACUUCCCCCACCUCGUCCAUGGUACCCUAAACCAGCAGAACGGAACCUCUGAGGGGCUUCAAUGGGGCUUCGAAUGCCCUGACCAUUUCUCCUAAGACCAUUGCCAGGGACGAAACCAUUCCCAACCAUUACUCUUCCCACCAUGAGAGUAACAUCUGAUACUUCAGGGGUAGGUGGUGAUGAACCCCGAGAAGCAUGUAUGGUGGACACCAAUUCGAAUGAGUGGUAACUUGAUCCAAACCGUGAAUCCGGUUCUACAUAGGGGAUAGCCGUCUCAUGAUAGAUCCGGUGGUCUUCCUCACCAUACACGGUGACCAACUUCUUUUCGAUCACAAAUUUCACAGCUUGAUGUAGACUUGAAGGUACUGCUCCAGCAGUGUGUAUCCAGGGACGACCUAGCAAGAAAUUGAAUGCAGUAGGGAUGUCUAGCACUUGGAAGGGAAUGUUGAAGACGACCGGCCCUAUUUGGACAUCGAGAUGGAUUUCCCCGAUCACCUCCUUUUUUGUUCCAUCGAAAGCUCGCACCGAAGUCUUCACGGCAUGUAUCCUUGACGGGUCUACCUUAAGAUGGUGAAGAGUGGCCAACGGACAAAUGUUCAGAGCGGACCCAUUAUCGAUGAGCACUUGGGACAUAUGAGAAGACUUGUGCUUAACGGAUAUGUAGAGUGCUUUGUUAUGUCCCCUGCCUUCGAGAGGGAAUUCCUCAUCAGAGAAGGCAAUCAAAUCCUUGAGAAGGACCGAUCCCAUGAAUUCUUCUAGCUUGUAUGCUUCCACAAUCUCUGGCACAUGGAUUUCACUCAACACCUUCAUUAGUGACUUUUGAUGCACGGGGGACGUCAUCAAGAGCUCGAGUAGGGAGAUCUGAGUAGGCAUCUUUCAUAGUUGGUCAACCACGUUAUACUUGCUUGCUUUGAUUACGGCCAGAAACUCCUUAGCCUCUUCAUUGGUGACCGGCUUUGCAGGUUGAGUAAUGGCUUGACCAUAAGUCCGUCCAGACCUUGUAACAAGGUCCACAUCCAAGUCAUAGGACCAAGGCACUGCCUUAUUAUUGACAUACUCAUACGACUGAGGCACCUCUAUCACUAUCUCUUCGUCAAAUGCAUCCUCUAAUGGGGGCAUGUCUUCAAGCGAAGGAUCAACCUCUUUCUUAUCAGCAUCAAGUGUAGCCUGCUCCUCCUCCCAAUCGAUGAUGAGGUGGGAGAUAGUAGAAACUAUACAGUUAUGAUCAGCAUACACAAUGAUGCCAUCAUCCAUCAUUUUGGCAACUCUUUCUCUCAUCACCGAUAGAGGGACAUCUUCCUAACCUCGGUAAUACCCAGCUCUCACUAGCCCGUUGUAGGCAUCUGCCACGUGCACCUUUGAGUUCCUGAUCCGUCCGACUUCAGGUUCCAGGAUGGCAUUCACUGUACCCUCAUGCUUUGGUAGCAGAUUUUUUUGAACGUUCGGCCGAGUAGUUUGAAAUGAAAAGGCCUUUGUAUCUAAGAUAUUCUGGAUCUUGUGCUUGAGAGUGAAACAUUCAUCAGUUGAAUGCCCUAGUUCACCGUUAUGGUAGUCACACUUCUUCGUCGGGUCGUAACCACGAAUGCCUUCACGGUUAAGGCACUUUGGUUCACUAGUAAGCAAAUCUUUCUUUUGGAGGACUGUCAGUACUUGGGAUGGAGACCUAGGGAGAGGGGAGAACUGCCUUCUAUUAUUCGCUUGGGCGAAUGAUUGACGGCCAGCGGGUUGUUGUUGUCUUGGGUUCACUUGUAUAGCCAGGGCACGUUUGGCACUUUCUUGGCUAUAAGCCACAUUUACAUCCACGGCCGCUUCCUUCUCCUUCUUAGUAGAGAACCUUUUAGUAGAUGGCUCAGAAAACCAUCAUUCCCUUAUUCCCAUCUCAAUCUGUUCUCCUACAGGAAUAAGCUGAUUGAAGCUCUCAACAUAUGUACUGGCCAUUCGAUUACGGAACUCAGAUGGAAGGGUCUUCACGAACAACUUCAUCAACUCCUUGUUGGUAGGCUCAAGAGUAAUUUGAGCCGCCAAGUUUCUCCAUCUCAUAGCAUAUUCUUUAAAUGACUCACUCCUUUUUUUUUCCAUCCGCUCCAGGUCUUCUUGGGAAGGCGCGAUGUCCAUGUUGAACUUGUACUGCUUGAGGAAUGCGUCCGCCACUUCGUUCCAGGUUUCGAGGAGGUUUACGUUCUUCAUCACGUACCAGUUUAGUGUGGGCCCGGUCAAACUCGCAUGAAACGAUUGGAUCAUAAGGGGCUCAUUUUUUACGUGCUAGGCCAUGCGCACGUGGUACAUCUACAAAUGAGACUUCGGACAAGAUGUCCCGUUGUACUUCUCGAACUUUGGCAUUUUGAACUUGCUCGGCAUUUUAACCUUCUCAUAGAUCGAGAGGUCAAACGGGAGUGAGCUUUGAGACUCCUGCAGCUGUCUCACUUUCUCUUCUAGCUUUGCAACGCGGUCAUCCUGAUCUGUCUUGGGAACCAUGUCAUCUUCUAGCUCGGGCAUUUCGUCAUCACUCAUUUGGGCCCUAUUUGCUUGCCUCGGGACUAUUAUCUCGGGGAGAGCGGGUGGAGGAAUCCGGUUCAUUUGGAGGGAUUGGAGUUGAGCUAUUACGAGCUGCAAGGAAGUAGCUAAUUGUUUGAGUUGAUCUUUCACAGAGGACAUGCGAUUGCGCAUCUUGUUUUGGUCAGCCAUCUUAGCCUUUGAUCGCGUAAUAAUGGGAGAGCGCGGAGGAUCCGUUAUUACAUGAUGGAAUAAAUGAAUACACAUAAGUACUUCAUAUAAAACAAUGUCGGUCCAUGACGAAAGUCUAACUGCUUUUAUUCAUUAUUAAAAUUGUUUGACAUUAAUAAUGUAAAGAGCUUGCAAAAUCUUAAACUAAUCAAGUAAACGACUCAACUUCCUAAACAUUAAGUUAAAGUAAAAAGAUCGAAUAGAUUCAAGCCACUUUAUUUGGCCUGAUCUAUAAAUAUAUGGGAAGCCAAUGCUCGACGUAAUUGCCUCUUCUCUUUAGCGUCUUUCUUGGCUUGCUCUUCAAGUUCUUCAAUCUUCCUCUUGUGAUGACUAAGCUCUACUUGUCGAGUGGGCUUCUCGGUCACAUUUGGCACCUUUGGGAGAUACUCGGUCGGAAUCUUGUGCUGACGGAUGUAUCGAGCCGUGGCAUAGUAAGUCUUCUCCUUCCCCUCGAGCUCAUCUUCAGGUAAGCUCAACUUUUGUUCACGACAUGCAAUCCAAACUUGUUCGAUACAGCGGAGUUCCUUCUUGUGAUCGCCAUCCUUAGCAGUGAAUUGGACUUGGAACAAACCCAGCUUGAGAGGGGGCGGUAGAUCCUGCACAACUCGAUAUUGACGAGCCACUCGGAGUGGGUAGUAGGAAGUGACAUCGGUGAUCCCCAAUAGCGGGAUUGGCUCAUCAUCCCAUGAGAGAGACGUGCUUUGGAGACUUGGAACCAUUUAGCAUGCCAUAGAAAAAUCUUGGUAUUCGGAUUUUUCAAUAAUUUGACCCAUUUUGAGUAAGAAAGAUUUGGAGUUUGAUCCCGACGAUUUUUAAAUACUUCGAUGGGAUGAUGGAAAUCAGUGACAUUAAUAAUAUCCAUGCGAAUAUUGACCUUACUCAUAUGAGAAAAGAACCAGAUUUGUAAAAGCUCGAUUGGUGCACGAAAGGUUUUAUCUUCAUCUUCCUUAAAUCGGGUGAGUGACAAAAAUGUUUCAGCUGGAAUAGUAUUGACAAAACUGAUCUUAGCACACACUUGCUUGACCACCCAUGCGAUAGAUGGAUUAAUGGCGCCCUUAUGAAGAGGGAAAAUAACAAAUCCGAAAAAAGCUAGGAGGAAAAUCCUACUUUUUAAGAGAGUGUUAGCACUGGCAAAAAUCUGAUCUAGGAAAGAAAAAGGACAUGCAAGACAAUUAUCUUUCAGCACUCUUUUUAUCAAAUUCUUACCCAUCUUAAGAAAAUCUGACAAAAUUGAUUAUGGUUCUAAUCCGAUGGGUGGAUUUAUUAAUUCCAAUUCCAAGGGUUUUCCUAUGGCGAUGCUGUAUUCUUCGAGAGUCGGAGUCAGCUCAUGCUUACCGAAUAUAAAUGUUGAUGUUCGGGGGCUCCAGAAAUGAGCAAGUGCUUGCAUGAUGCCACUCUGGACAUCAACGUCAAGGAGGGGAACAAGGCGACCAAGUUUGCUCUCUACAUAGCUUUGGCCCUCGUGGCCUAGAAGAUCCCACCAUGAUUUGAGUUCAACCUUUGGUGCUGGCACAAAUCGAAUGUCGGAUUUUCCCAUUGUUUAUAGACCAGGACUCGACCAACCUAAUGUCAUGGACCAACCAAAUACAUAAAUAAAUAAAUUGCAAGAGUAAAGGAUAGUGAGCUUACUUUACCAUACGAUUAAAGCAACCACAUAGACAAACGCAUGAAGUGUGAGGCUCGAUUUCUAUCUAGACGGGCUUAGCAAAGUGGAGUUAAAAGGGUGGGAUGACUUAGUUGCAGCCUCGCAUACCAAGUCACGUCCUCCUAACUUCCGGCUCAGUCAUGAAUCAUACCCCAAUGCAACGCAGCCUCGCGGGCAGAGGUAAACAUUCUUGACACCAAGAAAAACUUUCGGGAUUGAGUUGGGCAACCUCUAUUACGUGGCCUCGCGGUCGAAGUUGUAUCCAACUCAAUACCAUCAUAAAUAUCCUAGUGCAGCCCAGGUCUGGCGGCAGGUUGUGUGUGCAAUAAUGUAGUGUUGAAUGCAAGACAUGCACAACAAUUUAGAUCAAGCAACACUUCAACAUGAAAAUAAACCAUACAUUCCUUCACCUCCCUACAAAACAGAGGUUAACAAACGCUUCCCCUUAUACCUCCCAAUCUGCAAAAAACAUUUAACACCUUAAAUGUUAGGGACGUACCUGGGAUCCUCGCUGCCAAACAAAAACAUUUUUUCAAAAGAAAAGAAAAAUUGGCCUAAGUCCACUAAGAGUUUCUACUCAAAUCCCCAGCGGAGUCGCCAAGCUGUCGCGACCAAAAUUUUUCGGGUGUGAACCACCUAGGGUUUGGCUAAUGGAUUGUUAAGCCUAAACUUAACUCGGACUCUCCCAAGCCCAUACCAAUUCGCGACUUAGGUUCAAGUUCUUAACACGCAAUUGAUUUUUUAAUCAGGAGUCGCCACUAAUCUAUUUUUUUGGUGGGUCGAUUAGUAACCCAAGUAAAGUAAUGGGAGUUUCACUUUACUCCUACGAACCAGAGACUAUGGGUACAUGAACUUGGUUACACUAGAUUUCUCUAAUGCCAUUUCGGUACCAUUCUUUUAUUUUCAAAAAAUGUUUUUGCAGGCAGCUUAAAUUGAUUUUAAAUUUAUUUUCUAACAUGUGAGGUGAUCACACGGGUGCGCAAUCCACCAAUUUAACACCUAGAUAAACAAUAAAUAAAUUGCAAAAACUUACCUCAAAGCAACGAAAGCAUCUGCAAUAUUAAGUUAAAAACCGUAUUAACAACCCUAGAUAUGGUUUCUAAUUACCACGCAAUUUCUUUUUUUGUUUUCACUUAAUUAAUGAAAAUCAUGCAAUAUGCAAUGCAAUAUUAACUAAAUGACCUAAUUCUAAUGACAUGCAAUUUCUAGUUAAAUAGGCCUAGCAAAAAUACUAAAUGACAUGCAUCCCAGUGAAUCUAGCCCUAAUGACGUGCAUAUGCCAUUUUUCUCUUUUUCCUAAAAUAAUGCAUUUUAUCAUAAACAAUAAAACUAAUUUAACCUAUGGCAUUUUUUUUUUGUAUUUUUCAGGUGAAAUGUGAAAAUUACCUAAUUAGAUUAAGAUCCUAUUUAAUUUAUAUUAGGAAUUAGGUUGAGCCAAAUCCUAAUUUAAACUAAAACAUUAUCUUAACCUAAAUAAUCCUAAAAUGCAAUAUAUCUAAAAAAUACCUAAACUUAUAACAAAUUAAGAAAAAAUAUUAUCUAGAAUUGAACUAAGUGCAAUUUAGUCCUAAUAUGCAAUGACGUGCAAAAUAUACUUUAACACUACAUGACAUGUAUAUGAUGAUUUUUGUUUUGUUUUUGUUUAAUUUCGAAAUUAAUAAUUGCCAAAUAAUUAAACAUGCAAUCCAAAUUACAAAUCUAGCAACCUAAAUUGAGUGAUUUGAUUUUUUAUUUUAUUUUAGAUUUUAAAAUUCGAAAUAAGAUUCCUAUUCUAAAUAUGUAAGCCCUAAAACAUGCAAUAUUAUAACCCAAACACAUUUCAAGAUAAACAAAGCGAUCAUGACAAGCUAAACCAAGGAUAUCACACAUCAUUCAGAUCAUAGGUAAAAUUUCGCUAGUAAAAUCGAUAAAUUGAUCUUAAGCCUUAAAGAUCAAAAUAUCAAUUUUAUUCCCGCUUGAUUAAUUACUUCAUCUAAAGCCUUAUAGACGAAAUAAAAAUCCAAGCGCGGUUGCAAAUCAGGUGAUAUGUUGGAAUUUCCAAUCAUAUAUUAAAGACUAAUUAUACUAAAAAAACAAGAUAAAGUAAAAUAAAAUAAAAUAAAAUAAAAAGAAAAAACUACCUGAUGUGCUUUCUUUUGUUUUUUUAAAGCAAAGAUGAUGGUUGCGUUGGUAAGGGGAUUCAUCGGCAGCAGACUCUGGCGAGAGCAGCAAGGGUAGCUACCGGCGAGGGACUCCAGCGAAGCAGGGCGACGGUGAGCAGCGGCGGGGGAGGCUCCGGUGGCGUCGGGUUGCGGCAGGGACAGCAACGCGGCGACGGCUAAGUGUUGGGCGGAGGCGAGCAGGGGCGAUGUGGUCUCCGGGUUGCGGGCUUCAAAUGGUGGGGCGCUGCAGGGACGGCAGGGGGCCUCGGGUAGCUGGUGUGGCGAGGUCGGGAGCGGCAGGCUUUGGAGCUCCGGCGUCGGCUGGGCAGGAGUGCGAUUGUCGGGGCGAACCUCGCGAGCGGAGCAGGGGCGUUGCAGUGGCGCGGCUUCGGCGAGGGCGGGAGCGCGGUCGUCGAGACGCCUGGUGUUCGGUGCUGCUGGUGCGGAGUGACGAUGAGUGGCGAAUGGAGUGGCUGUGUUGCUGCGUGUCAGGGGCGAAUCCGACGAGGCGACGGUGGCGGAGGCGCGGUGAUGCUCGGGGGGAGCGGCGAGACCGGUAGCAGGGCGUCGCGGGUCACGUGGAGCGGGAGCAGCAGGAGCGUCUCGGUGUCAAGGCAGCUGCGGCGGCAGCCGGCACAGCGAAGGCUGGCAGGUGGAACGGUGAGGGCAGACUCGGAGAAGAUGAUGAACAAGAGAUUUUUUUUUUUCCUUCUCUCUCUUCUCUCACGUCACUUCCUACGUCUCCUCUCUCUAUCUCAUCUCUCUGCUGUAUUUUCUUUUUGACUUUUGACUUCUCCCUUCUCCCCAAAACUAAAGAAUUGAUUUUCUUUGGGGUCUUUGAGCUUAAAAACCCGAAAGAAAAAGCACUCCUCACGUUUUUUGCUCUGAAAAUUCUUUCUUGAAUUUACUCUCGAAUUUUUUUGAAAAUCGCCCCCCUCAUACGAAAAAUGAAGCUAUCUUUUAUACUAAUUCCGAACGGCCGCUUUGUAUGGCAUUUUUCAAGUUUCCAUCUUCUGUCGCAUUCAAUCAAAGUUGCAAAUCAGAGCAUGAUUUCACAAUCAGCUCGAUCUUGCUUAGAUUUCUUCCAAUUUGCAAAAUUCUUGCCUCUUAUUCACUUGAUUUUAAAUUGCUUCUACAUUUAACGAAAUCCGAAUGCUCAUCAAAAUUGCAAAUUUCCAUGCAUAAUCAAUCAAAUAAAUUUCCCCUAUCUUUUUCAUUUUUUUUCCUUUUAUUUGUUCCAAUGCAAUUUUUAUUUUCCCUAUUUUCCUAGAUUUGCUAAAAACAGGUGUCAACAGUCUUCCAACAAAAAAUGCAUAAUUCACUAUUUAAUUCUUAGUGAUCGGAAAUGAAUAUUAAAUUAGUGAUGUAUGAUCAUGGAUCGGUAAUGUGCUGGCCUUGAACCAUACGGAUGGAUUAGAUGUCGACUGGAAUGAGCUCAGGGAUAGACUUGGCUAUUUCAUCACUAAUUUUAAAGUCCAUGAGUGCCUUGGCUUAGUGCUAGGCCUUGGCCAGCCUUAAGAUUAGCCUUGAAUCGAUUGAAAAACAACCAACCACUAACCCUUUAGGCCGACUGAUCGUCUAAGGGAAUGGUUUGGUUGAGUGUUGGACACAAUUGUCGAACCUCGGGUGUAUGUGAUUCAGUUUUUCGAGGUGUAUCUAAUGAUCUUUUUCUCGGCUUCGAAACUAACUUAGACGAUGGAAUUCUCUAGACCACAUUCUUGAUGAAGAAAAUGACAAAAUUGAAGAAAACUCUAGAACACCCUCAUUAAUGAAGGAGGUGAUGUAUUCUUUGACUUUUCAAAAGUAAUGAUGAGGUUGAGGAUUUUCUUGAUGGGCAAGAAAAAGAUGGCAUACACAUGGACCAAUCGGAGAGCGAUACAUGAACUCCUCAUAAUGACUGAAGAAUCUAGAAGCCAAGUUGGCAACUUUGAUGGCAUCUUAUCCAAACUUCAUUAAAUGUGGGGUACAAGUGGUCCAAUGAAAUGGUGAAAAGCGAGCCAUCAUCGAUGAUGCCUGCAAGCUAAAUUUGCUAAGUGUGACCUUUUAGGCGUCCAACUCAUUCCUUAGGCGUAAUAAUUAGACAAAUAGACUUGCCAACUAAGGAUCUUAGGUAGGACACUUGGAAAAUUGAGAAUGGACCAUUUAGCUCGAUAAUGAUGGCGCCGAGUAGUAUAAAUGGGAGGACCCCUCCUCAUUUUUCACCAUGCCAUUCACUUUCUCAUUUACUCCUCCAUUUUCUUUUUCUCGGCCUUACAUCCUCAAUCCCUCAAGCUAAUUUAAGUUAGUCUUCAAGGUUCACCAAGGUAAGUAAGAUUCCUCUUUUUUCUCUACGAAGUAGAUCCCAUUGUUGAGACUAGUUAAGUGCCCACCUGUCAAGCCAUGGGUAGUGUAGAAUGUCUUUUGUUGAUCUUGCUUGCUAUAGGACAUGUCCGUGUGAUUGAGUCAUUUAUGUCCAGAAUGAAACUGAGGUUCGAUUGGAUUGAGUUCAUCACAAGACAAAAUCGCCAAGCCAUAAAGCCUUGGUUUUGGCAUAGAUAAGAUGCCGGGUCCAAGUCUCGCUUCGUGUGGAAAUCGCUCGAGAUUGCAAGGUCAUAAAUCGACAUUGAGGCAUGUCAAUUUUAUGCCUUGAUCGAUAUGGAGAUCGUCCAAAUCCACGAGGUCUUGGUAAGGCACCAAAGCAUGCCGAUUUCCAUAGUUCAAAUGGACGCGGGGCCAUUGUACUUGGCGUUGGAUCAAACUACGAGCUGAGGCUCAUUCAUGAUACAUGUUUAUUUACAUCGGGUCAAAGCUGAGGUCCAUCAAGCUUGGGAUCGUCACUUAAGCAAGGUGUACCAAAGCCUCAAGGUCUUGAAUCGGUAUUGAGGCAUACUGUUUCCGAGCCUUGUUUGGUGCGGGGAUUGAUGCUAAGUGAUUGAUUCAAGUUACGGACCAAAGACUGUUCCCGACAUAUUUGCUAAUGAAGUAUAGGAAAUUCAUGAUACAUAUGAAUGAAUGAGCACACCUUCGGGUCAUGCAUGUGUCAGAUAAGAGAAAAGACAAGAACUGACUUGUAUGAUGCAUUUAUGCAUGUACUUAAAGAGAAAAAGUGCCCAUCACCACACAUCGUUGGCGGUGAUGCGUUGUUAAUUGAAUGAGAUGCCUUAGUUGAGUCAGGAUGCUUGGGUCUUGAACCCAGAAGCCUUGAGAAGCUAGCAACCAGAAGUCUUGGUCGAGUCAAGAUGCCCUGGUCGAGCUAGGAAGUCUAGCUAAAAGUUGGAAGCCCUAGUUGAGCUGGGAGGGCUUGAUUGAGCCAGGAUGACGCUAAAUGAAUUUGCAUAAGUGUCGGUAUAUGCAUAAGUAUGAUAUGUUGAUAUAUUUAUUGAUAAGCCAAAUGUAAGUAUGCAUUGAAGCAUGUUGCGAUGGACAUUUGCAUGUAGUCAAGGGUAGCAACAAGUUUGUUAUUGAUGUACCAUCAAUAUUGUUUGCGAGUGUUGUACUUACUAAGCUUCGAUGAUGAGAUGCUUUCCUAGUAGAGAACUAGGAAUUUUACUUACUAAGUUUCCCCAAAACUCACUCCUUUAUCUUUCAGUUUUGUAAGCAUGAAAGUCUUAUGUUAGUGUUGAGAGCUGCAAUCAUGCUAGAAGAGAUAGGAAUUCUCUUGGCCAAAUGGAAAACUUAUUGAGUGAUGCAAAAAGAAGAGAGGGCCCGUAAAGAAAUGGUUUGUAAAAGUAUUAUUAUAAUAUAAAUCAGUGUGUUUUGUGUGAUGUAUGUCCCACACUUCCAGCUAUUGUUUGUUUGGGGAGUUAUUUGUUUACGUUUUCACAUGUGCAUGAUAACAAGAUAAAAAGAAUUGGAACAUCGACGAGCUUGGGAUGUCGUGAAAAUAACCCUUGUUGGAGUUGGGAUUGUGACACCUUGCACUUGCCCUCACUCACUUUAGGCAUGGGUGGCUACUAUACCAGCCUAUCCUGCGGUAGCCAAGACCGAAAUAUCGACAUGGAGUCUAUCUUCCCCACCAUGAGGCCUCCUAAUCCCACCUCUAAUUUUGUCUUCCUGAGGUGGAGGGAAUAGGGGGUGACAUUGCGGGUCUCCCACCCCUGAGCGGUUCUCCCACCUGUUUCUUUCCCAUGAGCCUUUUAAGGACUUGCUCAGGUUCAUAAUUCGAGAAAUUAUAAGUACCAAAAGAAGUUAUUCAGUUGUCGGUCGCUCUUCUCCUUGCAUGAAGACCGGAGGAUUUUUUUUUUUUUUUGGAUGAAUUGGGCUGCUAGACAUGUCACAACACAAACUUUGUUACAUCAAUUUGCUCAAUUUGGAUUGUGGCCAUUAUUAUAUGUUCGGUUCACAAACAAGCAGCAUUGAUGCUACGUAUAGAAGGAUUGUACCUCUCAAUUCCUAUGAGCAGAUGCAUUACAAGACUACACUGCUAAAAAAACUUAUUGAGAUCCCUUGGAUAAACGAAAUCACGUUGAAGGUGCAAAGUUUAUCAGUAAUUAAGCGAUUGGACAACCGCUUUGAAAAACUAGUAAAAGUUCAAUUAAAAUCGAUAUAUCAUGCAAUAGGAGCCUAGAUUGGAAUCCGAGUGGACAAGUAUGUUCUAUCUGAUAACUGCUUUUGUUAGUUUGAUAAGAAACGGACUUGCGAAUUAGGCAGGAACCAUUCUUUUACAUUUUCUGUUAAACUAACUUUUAGGACUGUUUCUGGCACUUAACAAACAAAUAAAAAUAAAAUAUAUUGCACACUCGGAUUCCGCACCAAUCUACUCAAAUAUAUUCUUAUAAUUUGUUAACUAAAAGAAGCCGACUCGUAAAGGAGAUACAGCCUGGAAGGGACAAUUGAUUCACGUCACAUUUUCUAAUACCUGAAACCGACCUUCGAUCCUGGAAAGAUUGUUUGGGAUUCAUAUAUAGGAGCACGAGGUUUUUCACUAUAGGUGUCCUCAAAUGCUGCCUGUCCAUACAUUGGAAAGGAGCUAAAAAAGAAAAGAAAGAAUACUUUGGUGGUCGAGGAAGUUCUAUAUGUGCCUUUAUCCAGGUUAUUCACUAGGUGUCCUCAAAUACUACCUGUCCGUACGUUGGAAAGGAGAUAAAAAGAAAAGAAAGAAUACUCUGGUAAUCGAGGAAGUUCUAUAUGUGCCUUUAUCCCUUGAUAUUUUUUUAAGUCUUGGACUUCAUACAUGGAAGAAUCCAUGUCAUAGAAAAUUCAUGAUGCUAAUGAAACUUGAGCUAUAAGAGAUGAGGGUGCAAUCCAGCUUACUUGAUUAAAUGUUCUCAAUUAUCAAAAGUUAAGCUCUCGAUAUGAGAAAAGUUCUUUUUCUAAUGAAUAUACGUACUGUUAUUAUUUUCAAAAUCAUGUGCAGAUAUGACAAUCUUUAAUUUCUCUCUAAUUAUCAAAUUAAGGACGUGUUUGAUAGCAAUAUCAAGUGUGUUCGAUCACCUCUGAUAACACAAAACUCAAUCAAUUGUUUUGGGUCUAAACAACUUCAUGCAACUAGUAAGGAAGGGAUUACUAAAUUAAUUAAGUUAUCAAAUACCCAAUGAAAAUUAAAGUAUCACUAAUGACAUUGCAAAACCUUUUUCCAAUAAUGUUCCCUAUUCCAUGCUUGGUAAGAAAUAAAAACAAGGGUGGUGUGUUAAGGAGUGAUGCUCAUGAGUAAGUAUUAGGCCACUAUAACUUCUUAUGAUUUCAAAACUCAAAAUGAUAUUAGCUUCUCCCAAGUCCUUCAUAUCAAAUUUAGAAGUCAAAAAGCAUUUCAUUAAAUCACAGUAUCAAUGAUUUUAAAAGAAUAAGCAUGUCAUCAACAUAUAAGCUAAUAAUUAUAGGUUCACUAUCAGCAGUUUUUGUUUAUACACAUUUAUCUACUUCAAUAGAGGAAAAUUCAUUGUUGACUAGAACUUAGUCAAUUUUCUCAUUCCAUUAUUUUGGUGCUUGCUUUAGGCCAUAUAAGACUUUAAGGGGGGAAAGUGUCAUACAAGUUCUAAGCCUAUUGCAUUUAUGUCAAUUUUAUUCUAAACAUUUUAUUUAUGCCAAUUUAGUCAUAAUCAUUUGACCUAGUGUCAAUUCAAUGUAUAUAUUUUGAUCUAGCACUAAUUCAGUUUUUUUAAGCUAUUUUUGGCCGGAUAUUACUGACGUUGACUCUAGUCAGCCUAUGUGGCAUGGUGGGUGUUAACUUGGAUAAAUUUUAAUAUUAUUUUAAUAUUUUUUGAAUUAUUUAUUCAUUUUUCCUUUUCUUUCUCUUUUUUUCCCCUUCCUCUUCCUCCAGCAGACCUUUGGCUAGCCUCGUCAGAUCUAGCGAGGGUAGAUCCUUGUCGGCCAUGGGAUUAAGUUGGCACUAAUAAAAGGUUUAUGACUAAAUUAGUAUCAACGUAAUAAGUUUACAAACUUUGUUUUCUUAGCCAGGAAGAGUACAUUGCUCAUGUUACUAAUGUUUAGUGUGGGAUUCUAAUUCAACAAGACCUAUAUGCUCUCGACAUAUCCUUAAAUUUGUUGAUUGAAAAUGCAAAGUCGGAAAGGUGAUUCAGCUAUUGCAAGAAUCAAUUCCAUCCAUAGCAUAUUCCUAAUAUGUACUUUGAACCAAUCUUAAAAUGAUAUUAUACGGUGUAUAAAUAGGAGUAUAAUAUGUUCACAUGUAUCUACGUCAGGCAAAGUGGAAAAGAAGAAUAUACUUUUUGGUAAUAAAAUUUUAGAAUUCGUUGAUAUUUUGGACUGUGCUAUUAUUAUGGAAGGUUCUAUUCUUAGCAUAAAAAAUCAUGAUGCUUAUAAACUCAAACUACAAGAAAAAUGUGGGCAUGACUCCAUUGCACUUCAUUUACUACCCUCACAGUCCCAAUUUGUCACGAGUUUGGCUCUGGAACUGUCUUUCAAAAUAUUCAGCAGGCGGCAAAAGUCUCCAAUAAUUAGCAUCACGCACGUGAAAGUGGAGGGUAUUGAGCUUGUAUAAUAGUAGGACGCUGAGAAGGCAUAGAGCAAGUCAAUGCCAUCCUAUAUUUUGAAGUACAGUAAAGGUGAAAAUUCUUCAAAAAUCAAAACUUUAGAAUUCUAGAACUUUUCCUCUUAAUUUUAGGACCAAGGUAGCAUUUCCUAGCAAUUACCUUUGGAAACCAUCUGAAUGUGGGUACUAAGAGCCUUCCUUUAUUCCUUCUACAUUGGCAUGGCACUUUCCAUGAGCUCUAUAUAAACUGAUCUUCGCCUUCGAACUUGAACACAAGAAAGAAACCAAAUCCAAAGCUUACACAAAACUUUGUUCUCUAGCUCACUCUCCUUCUACUAACUCACCUCAAUGGCACCUCAGGGAGAUCGCCUCGCUGAUAUUGGAAGGGAGGGUUUUGCACUACUAGACAUAUUUUAUGGUGGAGGAAAAUCAGGUCCAGCACCGAAGAAGCCAUGCAAUGUCCCACAGCAGCAUGCUCCCAUUCCCAACAACAAGAACAUAAUCGAUAGCGAGAAGGCCGCCGAAAGAUACAAAGGAGUGGUGGUCGUGGAGUCCCGCAAGAAGAAGAGGUUUGCCUGCUGAUGUUUUUAGGUUCUAGCGCUGUAACCGGAUGAACAAGUCCACGUCACUGUUUUCGUCAUACCAGUCAUUUCAAACUCUAGUACUGUGUUUUUUUAAUUUAUUUUAUUUUAAACUUUUGUUUUCUGGCCUUCUGAAGUUUAGCUGUGCACUAGGAUGUGUCUAAGCUAGUAAUUGGACUUGGGUUAUACUAAACACCCCGCGUUUUAUUCCUGUUUAGUUAGAAUAUCUAUGAUAUAACUAUUUACUUGAUUGGCGUGAAAAGAAUAUUCCAAUCGUUUCGACAGUGGAUGAUCACAACUUAAAUAACUUGCCAAAAACUAUCCUAGAACUACGUGGCCCAUUUAACACUCUGGUUCCAUUCUUGAGAUGCUCCUGCAUGAUUCAGUUCCUAAUAUUGACUAAGAUUUGAUAAAUACUUGCUGAAGCCGGAUCAUCCAAUUACGCAAGAUUCGGUUGUACAUCUAGCAAGCGCUUGCAACAUAUUGCAACAUAUAACUACACAGAUGGACCAUUCUUUGAUUUAUUGGUGCAAUUGCAUUUUUUUUCUUGUCUAGGAUGCUAACUAUUCUCUAGGAUCAAAAGUCACUAUUAUUGUAGUCGAGAAAUAUGUCCUCUAACUUCCAAGAUAUGCCAUCAAUUAUUCAGCUCCUAUUCAUAAAUUACAAGUAGCAAUCAUAAAAUAUCAGAGAUCCGCAUGUCAACAAGCAAAAGCUUCGACCAAAAAAAAAAAAAAAAACAAGCAAAAGCACGACCUUUACUUUUAGUGAAUUUAAAAGUGGUUCAUCUUAACCAACAGAACGAAAAGAAUAAAUGAAGGGGGACUCAUGAUGCACAUGUGAGGUUAACUCUGGGUGUCUCAGCUCAAAUACGCGUAGAUCUAAUUUUUAAGGCUCACGGAUUUCUCUUAAUUAUAAAGCAGUGCGCGUAAUCACUUUAGCAUGCUUUUUGGAUCCACUUUUGACUAGAAAGUUGGAAUUUAAACUUUUUUGCGUUGAUGAAGUUUCUCCGAUCUGUUGGUACCUGGUGGUGUGCAGAUGAAGGUUAGUAUGUGGCUACAAGCAGAAUAAUUAAGCUCUUGAAGAGAGAAUCAUUUGACUGGGAGGUUGUGAUAAGAGAAUCUUAAAACACUCAGAAAAGUUUCCACCGAGAGACGAUCAAUUUAAUGAAGCAAUAGAGUUGUUCCAGGCAUGCCAAACCGCUUUUACAUCCCUCCAAAAUCACCGAAGAUCUGAACCUAGAAAUUACAAGUACCAAAACAAGUGAUUCAGCUGCCGCUUGCUCCUCUCCUUGCAUGACGGCCGGAGGAUUCUUUAGAUGAGUCGAGCUGCUAAACAUGGCUCAGCACAAACUCGUUUCCUCAAUUUCGCUCAAUUUGGAUUGUGGCUAUUAUAGUGGGUUUAGCUCACUAAAAAGCAAUGUUGUCACUACAAAUAGGAUUGUACCUCUUAAAUCUCAUGAGCAGAUGCAUUAUGACCUUACACUGCUAAGAAAACUUAUUGAGAUCCCUUGAAGAAAAAAAUCACGUUGAGUGUACAAAAUAAUUGAUAAUUAAAAGAUUGGAGAGCCGCUUUUAAAAACUAGCAAGAUCAACUAGGGAUCGAUAUAUUAGGCAAUAGGGGUUUAGCUUGAAAUUCGAUGAGUUAAUUACGUUGGAAUCAUUCUUUCACAUUUUCUUUUACAUAGACUAACCUUUAUUAAUGUUUUUUGGGACUUAACCAACCAAAAAAAAAAAAAACAAAAAAAAAAUUAGUGCAUACUUUGUGGAAGCCCAUCGGGAGGGAAAAGUACCAAAAAAGUCAUAAACCUAUUGCAUUGGUACCAAUUUAAUCCUAAACUUUUUAAUUGGACCAAUUCAGUUAUAAACCUUUUUAUAUUGAUACCAAUUCAGUCCAUUCGGCCAAUUUUGGCCUGCCAGUGCUAACAUGGACAUCGGUCGAUGAUCGGACACUGACAUGGCAAUUUUUAAUUUUUUUUUUGAAUUUUUUCCUUUUUCUUUUCUUCCUUCUUUCUCCUUGGAUUGUUUUGACGGUGGACGGCGAGCCGUCAGCCAGGGUCGCGGCCCUCGCCUAGCCUCUCCUAAGGCUAUGGGCGAGGCCAGGCGAGGGCUGCGAUCCUCACUUACGGCUGGCAAGGGCCGCGAGGGCUUCGCGGCCCUCGCUUGGCCUCGCCCAGAUCUGGGCGAGGCCGGCCUUCCCUUGGCCUUGCCGUGGGCGAUGGUCGCCUUCAUCCGCGGCAAGGCCAGGGCGAGGCUGAGCGAGGGCCGCGAAGCCCUUGCCAGCCACCGGGGAGGGUUGCGGCCCUCACUUGGCCUCGCCCAGGGCCACGGGCGAGGCGGCUUUGCUCAAAUCUAGGCCAGGCCAGCCUCGCCCUGGCCUUGCCACGGGCGAUGGCCACCUUUGCCCACGGCAAGGCCUGCGAGGGCCGCGUUGGCCUCAUCGGCCAUGGGCAAGGCCACCUUCGCCCACGGCAAGGCUAGGGUGAGGCCAGCCUUGCCUUGGCCGUGGUCGGGCCCUUGCCUAUGGCUGGCAAGGCCAAGGCAAGGCUGGCCUUGCCUAAAUCUAGGCGAAGCUGCCUUGUUGAUGGUCCUGGGAGAGGCCGGGCUAGUCCAAGGAGGAAGAAGGAAGAAAAGAAAAGGAAAAAGAAAAGAAAAAGAAAAAAAGGAAAAGAAAUAGGAAAAAAUUCAAAAAAAUAUUUAAAAAAAUUGCCACGUUAGUGUCUGGUCACGGGCCAAUGUCCACGUUAGCGUCAGCACGCCAAAAUUGGCCGGAUGGACUGAAUUGGUACCGAUGUAAAAAAGUUUAGGACUAAAUUGAUUCAAUUGAAAAAUUUAUAACUGAAUUGAUACUAAUGUAAUAGGUUUAGGACUUUUUUGGUACUUUUCUCCCAUCGGAAUGCUGCUGGUGGUUGGCUCGUCGUGGAGGUUAUUCAUGUUGCGGAGAUGAGGGAGAAGGGAAGGUUCAUUCCGAUGGCUGCUUGGCACAAUAAAACCCUGGAGUUACUUCAAAUGGAAGGACAAACUGAUCGAUGAAAAGGGGUUUGGCGAAAGCGAAGGUCUUCCUAAAGAUAAAAAGUCUCAGACUGUUUGAAGGCAGGAGCUCAGUCACUGAUGGGCAACGGCGAAUGUGUCAUUGGCGCACGCAGUGUCUUACCCAAAAACGCUAGAGUUGGGGAAAGCUUUGGAGAAGAAAAUUUUCCGCCUGAGCAUUUUAGUCCGUUCUGUCUGAUCUGAUCAAAUUAGGCUUACAAAGAUAUCAAGUCUGUUUAUCGAGACUUAAUACGAACUCAAUCGUACUUGAUGGUGUUCAGAAUCAAACCUCUGUCCCUCCCAGUGUGGCUUUACAAAACUAAUCGAUGAAUAUGAGUCGUUAAAACAUGAUUAAAUGGACUAAAAGAGUCACGUUUUUUUUUUUUUUUAAGUAUUAUUUAUAGAUGAAUAGGUAGGUCUUACUCGCUUAUAAGACGAACAUAGUUAAAGAUGAUAACCGAUACUCUAAACUAUGUACUUUGUGCAUCUGUUGAUAUUCAACCAAGUCGUGAUUUCCAGCCUUACUCUUCACGACAAACUGAGAAAUGAUAACGCUUAAUUUUAUAUAAAUUUAAAAAAGAAGGAGAAUUAAGAUCCACUUGACAGAGUUAAUGCUUGAUGGACAUUAAUAAGGUUUAAAUUAUAGGGUUAAGUGGGAAUUUGAUUCCACACCAAUCUACUCAGACAUAUCUUGAUAAUUUGUUAACCAAAAGAGGCCGACUUGGAAAGUAGAUUCAAAUUGGAAGGGACAAUUGGUUCUCAACACGUGUCCUAAAUACUUUAAGCCCUCCUUCGGACUUGAAAAGAUUGUUUAGGAUUCAUCAAUAGACUAGAAGGUUGUCCAAAUCAAGGACGGGCGGUGACCGAGGAAGUUGUGCCUGCGGCUUCAUCCCUUGACAGAAUGUGUUUGUACAAGCGUCGAAAUCAGGCAAAGGAGAAAAGAAGAAGAAUAUAAUCUAAGGUUUGGCAGUUGUAGCUAUGCUUUAUACUAUACCUGCAAUGAUAUGGAAGGUACUGUUCUUAGCAUUAAAAGAUCACCGUGCUAACGAAACUUGAACGACAAGAAGAGGUGGGCACGAUUCCAUACGACUUCAUUAUCUAUCCACAGUCCCAAUUUGUCAAAAGUUUGGCUCCCGAACCAUUUUUCGAGAUCAUUUGCGGACGAGAAAGGCCUUCUUAAUCUCUCUCUCUAAAUACCUAGUUAUUGAAGUCUACUAGUCAUUAUAAUUGAUGGAAUAAGCUCCAUCAGACUUGCUGCGAUUCAACUGACCUCACUGGAAAUAUGUCAUCGGGCCAAUAAAACGCGGGUACUAGGAGCCUUCCUUUAUUCCUUCCGCAUUUCCGUGGCACUAUCCAUGAGCUCUAUAUAAACUGAUCUUGGCCUUCAAACUCGAACACAAGAAAGAAACCAAUCCAAAGCCCACGCAUAAGUUUCUAGUUUAACUCACUCUCCUUCUACUAUCUCACCCGCAAAUGGCACCUCAUGCCAAUCGUCUCGCCGAUAUCGGAAGGGAGGGUUUUGCUCUAGUGGACAGAUUUUAUGGUGAAGGGACAUCGGGUCCAGUACCAAAGAAGCAAUACAAAGUCCCAAAGCAGUAUGCUUCUGUUCCCAGUGACAAGAACGCAAUCGAUAGCAAGAAGGCCGCCGAAAAGUACAAAGGAACGGUGGUCACGAAGUACUACAAGAAGUUUAUUGGCUGGCGUUUCUAGGUUCUAGCACUGUAAACGUGUAAUGGUUCGAGUGACUUCCUAGAAGGUAGAGGUAACCGGAUGAAUAAGUCAUUGUCGUGGUUUUCACGGUUUUCCUCAGUCACUUCGAACUCUAGUACUGUGUUUAUGUAUAUCUUUUGUUUUUCAGCUUUCUGAAGUUUAAUUGUAUGCUUGGACAUGUCUAAGCUUUUAAUUGGACCCAUUUUACACUAUAUUCGACUUUUUAUUCCUCUCCUUGAUAAAAUUUAUCUCAAAUCUAUGGUAUACUCGGACACUGACCGGUAUGAAAAGAGGACUUCAAUCGUUUUCAAAGUGAAUGACCACAACUUAAAGAACUCGCCAAUUUUCUGCUCCAAGGACUGUCCAAGGACUAGCAGGCCAUUGGACACUCUGGUUCUAUUGCUGACUUGCUGCUGCAUGAUUGAAUUCAUAAUCUUGAGUAAUAUUUUCUAAGGACUCGCCAAAGAUGAACCAUCCAAUUACGCAAUAUACGGUAGUAAAUCCAGCUGGCGCUUGCAACAUAUAACUACACAGAUGGACCAUUCUUUGACUUUUUUGGUGCAAUUGCAUUCUUUCUCUUGUCUAGGAAGCUAAACUAUUUUCUAGGAUCAAAUAUCACUACUAUUGUAGUGGAAAAAUAUGUCCAAUAACUUCCUAGAUAUGUCACGAAUUAUUCACCUCUUAUUCAUAAAUUACAAGCAGCGAGCAUAAAAUAUUAGGGAUCUGCAUACUAACAAGCACAAGUUAUUUUCUUUUCUUUCUUGGAUGAAAGCGUGAAUAGUGAAUCUAAGUUCUUCAUCUAAACCAAAAGAACGACAAGAAUGAACGAAGGGGAACAGCUGAUGCACCACAUAUCAGGUUAACUCCAGGGGGUUCCUCAACUCAAAUAUGCAAAGAUCACUGAUCUCUAAGGCUCCAUCCACUUUUGACCAAAAAGGUUGAAUUUCUGAACCAUUUUGAGGGCUUUUGGCGAAGUGUCUUCAAUCUGUUGGUACCCCGGGCUGGGUAAAGAUGAAGUAUGUGGCUCUUUGGCGGAGAAGUUGACUUCUCCAAGAGAGAAUCAUAUGACUGGAAGGCCGUGAAAAAAUAAUCUUGAAACACUGAGCAAAAUUCCACCUAGAGACUAUCAAUGUGGUGAACCAAUAUUGUUAUUGCAGGCAUGCCAAACCACUUUUCGAUCCCUCCAAAACCACCAAAGAUCUUAAAGUCUAUAACCGGAGGUACGAUUGCUGGCAGUCAGUUUUAGACUUUACCAUUAAAGGUAGCCAGGUCGGAGCAGGCCUUGUGUAACACCCUCGAUUCCAACCCUGUGAAGAUCGGCCAUAAAGUCUUGAAUGGAUCGACCAUGAGCCAAUGGCUAUGGGAUCGACUGGUUUGAUCGGUAAGGAAUCAAUGAUUGGUCAUGGUCCAAUCGACAGAUCGACCGGCCAAGAAUUGGUCGAGAUGUCGGCCAUGAAUUGUCUAAUGACCAUACCGAUGGAAUAGGAUCACCAACUCAUAAGAUGAAUUUUUGAUAACGAGGACUAGUCACAAGGUGAUUUUGGAUCAGCGGAUGAUCAUGGGUCGAUCCGAUUGAUUGUAAUGCCCGGCCGUGAGUGAUUCUGCCCGACUAUGCAUUGAUACACAGACGAUGCGACUUUAUAAAUGUGAUUGUCUUCCAACAAAAAAUGCAUAAUUCCCUAUUUAAUUCUUAGUGAUCGGAAAUGAAUCUUAAAUUAGUGAUGUAUGAUCGUGGAUCGGUAAUGUGUUGACCAUGAACCAUACAGAUGGAUCGGAUGUCGACUGGAAUGAGCUCAGGGAUAGACUUGGCUAUUUCAUCACUAAUUUUAAAGUCCAUGAGUGCGUUGGCUUAGUGCUAGGCCAUGGCCAGCCUUAAGAUUAGCCUUGAAUCGAUUGAAAAACAACUGACCCUUUAGGCCGACUGAUCGUCUAAGGGAAUGGUUUGGUCGAGCAUUGGACACAAUUGUUGAACCUCGGGUGUAUGUGAUUCAGUUUUUCGAGGUGUAUCUAAUGAUCUUUUUCUCAGCUUCGAAAUUAACUUAGACGAUGGAAUUCUCUAGACCACAUUCUUGAUGAAGAAAAGGACAAAAUUGAAGAAAACUCCAGACACCCUCAUUAAUGAAGGAGGUGAUGUAUUUUUUGACUUUUCAAAAGUAACGAUGAGGUUGAGGAUUUUCUUGAUGGGCAAGAAAAAGAUGGCAUACACAUGGACCAAUCGGAGAGCGAUACAUGAACUCCUCAUUAAUGAUUGAAGAAUCUAGAUGCCAAGUUGGCAACUUUGAUGGCAUUAUAUCCAAACUUCAUUAAUUGCUCGUUAAAUGUGGGGUACAAGUGGUCCAAUGAAAUGGUGAAAAGUGAGCCAUCAUCGAUGAUGCUUGCAAGCCAAAUUUGUUAAGUGUGACCUUUUAGGAAUCCAACUCAUUCCUUAGGCACAAUAAUUAGACAAAUAGACUUGCCAACUAAGGAUCUUAGGUGGGACACUUGGAAAAUUGAGAAUGGACCAUUUAGCUCGGUAAUGAUGGCGCCGAGUAGUAUAAAUGGGAGGACCCCUCCUCAUUUUUCACCAUGCCAUUCACUUUCUCCUUUACUCCUCCAUUUUCUUUCUCUAGGCCUUGCAUCCUCAAUCCCUGAAGCUAAUUUAAGUUAGUCUUCAAGGUUCGCUAAGGUAAGUAAGAUUGCUAUUUUUUCUCUAAGAAGUAGAUCCCAUUGUUGAGACUAGUUAAGUGCUCACCCAUGAAGCCAUGGGUAGUGUACAAUGUCUUUUGUUGAUCUUGCUUGCUAUAGGACAUGGCCGUGUGAUUGAGUCAUUUAUGUCCGGAAUGAAACUGAGGUUCGAUUGGAUUGAGUUCAUCACAAGACAAAGUCGCCAAGCCAUAAAGCCUUGGUUUUGGCAUGGAUAAGAUGCCGAGUCCAAGUCUCACUUGGUGUGGAAAUCGCCCAAGACUGCAAGGUCCUAAAUCGACAUUGAGACAUGUCAAUUUUAUGCCUUGAUCGAUAUGGAGAUCGUCCAAAUCCACGAGGUCUUGGUAAGGCACCAAAGCAUGCCGAUUUCCAUAGUUCAAAUGGACGUGGGGCCAUUGUGCUUGGCGUUGGAUCAAACUAAGAGCUGAGGGUCAUUCACGAUACAUGUGUAUUUACAUUGGGUCAAAGCUGAGGUCCAUCAAGCUUGGGAUCGUCACUUAAGCAAGGUGUACCAAAGCCUCAAGGUCUUGAAUCGGUAUUGAGGCAUACUGUUUCCAAGCCUUGUUCGGUGUGGGGAUCGACGCUAAGUGAUUGAUUCAAGUUACGGAUCAAAGACCAUUCCCGACAUAUUUGCUAGUGAAGUAUAGGAAAUUCAUGAAUGAGCACACCUUCAGGUCAUGCAUGUGUCAGAUAAGAGAAAAGAUAAGAACUGACUUGUAUGAUGCAUUUAUGCAUGUACUUAAAGAGAAAAAGUGCCCGUCACCACACGGCGUUGGCGGCGAUGCAUUGUUAAUUGAAUGAGAUGCCUCGAUUGAGUUAGGAUGUCCUGGUUGAGUCAGGAUGCCUGGGUCUUGAACCCAGAAGCCUUGAGAAGCUAGCAUCGAGAAGUCUUGGUCGAGUCAAGAUGCCCUGGUUGAGCCGGGAAGUCUAGCUAAAAGCUGGAAGCCCCGGUCGAGCUGGGAGGGCUUGAUUGAGCCAGGACGAUGCUAAAUGAAUUUGCAUAAGUGCCGGUAUAUGCAUAAGUAUAAUAUGUUGAUAUAUUUAUUGAUAAGCCAAAUGUAAGUAUGCAUUGAAGCAUGUUGCGAUGGACAUUUGCAUGUAGUCAAGGGUAGCAACAAUUUUGCUAUUGAUGUACCAUCAAUAUUGUUUGCGAGUGUUGUACUUACUAAGCUUCGAUGAUGAGAUGCUUUCCUAGUAGAGAACUAGGAAUUUUACUUACUAAGUUUCCCCAAAACUCACUCCUUUAUCUUUCAGUUUUGUAAGCAUGAAAGUCUUAUGUUAGUGUUGAGAGCUGCAAUCAUGCUAGAAGAGAUAGGAAUUCUCUUGGCCAAAUGGAAAACUUAUUGUGUGAUGCAAAAAGAAGAGAGGGCCCGUAAAGAAAUGGUUUGUAAAAGUAUUAUUAUAAUAUAAAUCAGUGUGUUUUGUGUGAUGUAUGUCCCACUCUUCCAGCUAUUGUUUGUUUGGGGAGUCAUUUGUUUACGUUUUCACAUGUGCAUGAUAACAAGAUAAAAAGAAUUGGAACAGCGACAAGCUUGGGACGUCGUGAAAAUAACCCUUGUUGGAGUUGGGAUUGUGACACCUUGCACUUGCCCUCACUCACUUUAGGCAUGGGUGGCUACUAUACCAGCCUAUCCUGCGGUAGCCAAGACCGAAAUAUCGACAUGGAGUCUAUCUUCCCCAUCAUGAGGCCUCCUAAUCCCACCUCUAAUUUUGUCUUCCUGAGGUGGAGGGAAUAGGGGGUGACAUUGCGGGUCUCCCACCCCUAAGCGGUUCUCCCACCUGUUUCUUUCCCAUGAGCCUUUUAAGGACUUGCUCAGGUUCAUAAUUCGAGAAAUUAUAAGUACCAAAAGAAGUUAUUUAGUUGUCGGUCGCUCUUCUCCUUGCAUGAAGACCGGAGGAUUUUUUUUUUUUUUUGGAUGAAUUGGGCUGCUAGACAUGUCACAACACAAACUUUGUUACAUCAAUUUGCUCAAUUUGGAUUGUGGCCAUUAUUAUAUGUUCGGUUCACAAACAAGCAGCAUUGAUGCUACGUAUAGAAGGAUUGUACCUCUCAAUUCCUAUGAGCAGAUGCAUUACAAGACUACACUGCUAAGAAAACUUAUUGAGAUCCCUUGGAUAAACGAAAUCACGUUGAAGGUGCAAAGUUUAUCAGUAAUUAAGCGAUUGGACAACCGCUUUGAAAAACUAGUAAAAGUUCAAUUAAAAUCGAUAUAUCAUGCAAUAGGAGCCUAGAUUGGAAUCCGAGUGGACAAGUAUGUUCUAUCUGAUAACUGCUUUUGUUAGUUUGAUAAGAAACGGACUUGCGAAUUAGGCAGGAACCAUUCUUUUACAUUUUCUGUUACUUAAACUAACCUUUAGGACUGUUUCUGGCACUUAACAAACAAAUAAAAAUAAAAUAUAUUGCACACUCUGUGGAAGCCCUCAGGCAGCUCGGCGAGCACGUUGCAGAGGUUGGUCAUGUUGCACGAGUGAGAAGGGAAUUCCGGUGGUUGCUAUGGAAGGAGUAACUGAUCAGUGAAGAUGGAUACUGUGAAAUUGGGUAGGGGGGGGGGUACUUAUGCCAACUAAUUUGUAUUUGAUGGUGUAGAGAAUCGAAUCUCUAUCUCUCGUGUUGUUGCUUCACAAACUAAUGAUUGAAUCAAGUCGUGAGAACACGUUUAAAUGGGAUGAAAGCUUUAUUAUUUUUCUCGUAUCAUCAAUAAAUGAAUGGAGAGGUCUUACUCAUUUAUAAAGCAAACGCGAUUAAAGUGGUGCUCUAAAUUAUGUAUUUCACGUAUGUAUUGAUAUUUAACCAAGUCAUGAUAUCUAGCUUUACUUUCCAUGUUAAAUAAAGAAAGGAUCGUGCUUAUAUAUAUAAAAAGAAAGCCAAAAAGAAGGAGAAUUAGGAUCCACCCAAAAGAUUAGAUGCUUGAUGGAGACUAAUUAAGAUUUAAAUGAUAGGUUUUGGUGGGAAAAUGAUUGAGCACUUCGGCUUGGAAGGGACAAUUGGUUCCCAUCACAUUUCUAAUACUUUAAGCCCACCUUUCGGACUUGACGAGAUCAUUUAGGAUUCAUCGGCAUGAUUACAAGGUUGUUCCCUAUAGUGUCUCAAAUUCUGCCUGUCCAUACAUGUGUCCAACUCAAGGAAAGGAGGAAAAAGAGAAGAAUCUGUUGGUGAUCGAGGAAGGUGUGGUUGUGGCUUCAUCCCUUGCAAGACUGUGAAUCAUCCCUUGCCAGACGCUGUUUUUACAUGUGUUUAAAUCAGACAAAGGGAAAAAGUAGAAGAAUAUAUCUUUUCGGUCAGAAAAUUGCAGCUUUCCUUGAUAUUUUGGACUAUAAUAUGCAAUGAUUGUGGUAGGUUCUAUCUUAGCAUAAAAAGAUCAUGAUGCCAAUGAAACUUGAACUACACGAAAGAUGGGGCAAUGAUUCCAAUCCACUUCAUUAUUUGCUCAUAUUCACAACUUGUCACGAAGUUUAGAUCCGAAACAAUUCUUGGAAUCAUUGGCGGCCGAAAAAAGUUUUCUUAAUCUCUCUCUAAGUAACUAUUUAAUGAAGCUUACUCGGGUUUAUAAUUGAUGGAAUAAACUCAGACUUACUCCAAUUUUAGCAAUGUCACUGGAAAUAUGUCAAUCGAGCAAAAUAUGUCAUCUAAUCCACAAAAACUCCAGUAAUUAGCAUCACCGAUGAGAAGGUGGAAGGAAUUGACCUUCUACAAUAGGGGAAUACCAAGAAUGCAUAGACCAAGUGAAUGCCAUCUUUUGAAGUGACAAAUGCUAAAAGUUCUUGAAAAAUGAAAGCUUAAGAAUUCUAGAACUUCAUCUCUAUAUUUUUAGGAACCAAGUAGCAUUUUCUGUGAUAAGUACCAAAAAAUCCCAAACUUAUAGCAUUAGUAAUAAUUCACUUAUAAACUUUUCAAUUAGACCAAUCUAGUCUUAAAUUUUUUCACAUUUGUACCAAUUUAGUCAUUUCAACUAAUUUUGGUUAGUCGAUACUAAUAUAGACGUUGGCCAGUGGUCAACGUUGACAUGGACGCCGACGGGUGCUAAUGCUGAUAUGGCAAUUUUAAAAUAAUUUUUACUUUUUUUCCAAAUUUUUUAUUGAUUUGUUUUUCUCUUUUUCCUUUUCCUUUUAUUUUUUUUCUCCUCUUCCUCCUCGGGCUUCUUCUCCAUGUAGUGGUUGGACGAGGGCGUGCCCAAAUCCGGGUGAAGUUGCCUUGCCCAAUGCCCGCGACCCUAGGCGAGAUCAGGCAAGGGCCAUGACUCUCAUCUAGUGGUCGGCUAUUGUAGAGAGAAGAAACCUAAGGAGGAAGAAGAGAAAAAAGAAAAAAGAAAAAAAAAAGGAAAAGGAAAAAGAAAAAAAAUUGAAAAAGAAAAAUAUUUUUUAAAUUGCCAUGUCAGCAUUGGCCGAAUAGCAUACUGGCUGGCAUUCACGUUAGAGCUAACUAGUAAAAAUUGACUAGAAAUACUGAAUUAGUGCUGAUGUAAAAAGAUUUAUGACUAAAUUGAUUUAAUUGAAAAGUUUAUAACUGAAUUGAUACAAAUGUCAUAAAUUUAUAACUUUUUUGAUACUUUUGCCUGCAUUUCCUAGCAAUCACCUUUUCCCUUCUUCUCUUCCAACCAAUUGGUCUAUCGUUGGGAGCCAUUAAACAUGGGGACCAAGUGCCUCACUUUAUACAUUCUCCAUUUGCUGGGCACUUUCCAUGACCUCUAUAUAAACUGAUCCUUGGCUUCAAACUUGAGCACAAGAAAGAAACCAAUCCGAAGCCCCCACUUAAGUUUCUAGUUUAGCUCACUCUACUCCUACUUACUCACCCUCAAAUGGCACCUCAUGCCAAUCGCCUCGCCGAUAUUGGAAGGGAGGGUUUCGCUCUAGUGAACAGAUUUUAUGGUAGAGGGACAUCAGGUCAAGCACCAAAGAGGCAAUACGAUGUCCCAAAAAAGUAUUCUCCCGUUCCUAGCGACGAGAGGGAAAUCGAUUGCAAGAAGGCCGCCAAAAAAUACAAUGGAAUGGUGGUCACCAAGUACUAAACAAGAAGUUUGUCGGCUGGCGUUUCUAGGUUCUAGCGCUGUAAACAUGUAAAGGUUCGAGUUAACUUCCUAGAAGGUAAAGGUAAACUGGAUGAAUGUGUCCUUGUCACGGUUUUCACCAUGUUAGUCGUUUCGAACUCUAGUAAUGGGUCCUUGUCACUGCUCUAUAACCGUUUGUUUUUCAGCUUUCUGGAGUUUACUCGUAUGCUCGGAUGUGUCUAAGCUAGUAAUUGGACCUAUUUUAUACUAAACAUUCCGCCUUUUAUUCCUCUUUUUGGCAAAAUUUAUGGCGAUCUAUGGUAUAACUGUUCACUUCAUUGGCA
rnacentral:lncRNA from 1 species